rnacentral:rRNA from 1 species
UACAGAGGUCCCAAGCGUUGUUCGGAUUCACUGGGCGUAAAGGGUGCGCAGGUGGUUUGGCAAGUUUGACGUGAAAGCCCCGGGCUUAACCCGGGAAUGGCGUUGAAAACUGCUUGAACUGGAGGGUCGGAGGGGGGACUGGAAUUCUUGGUGUAGCAGUGAAAUGCAUAGAUAUCAAGAGGAACACCAGUGGCGAAGGCGAGUCCCUGGACGAUACCUGACACUGAGGCACGAAAGCCAAGGGAGCAAACAGG